ensembl:rRNA 5S_rRNA 5S ribosomal RNA
CCUUACAGUCACAUCACUCUGCAGCCCAAGACCAGUUACUCACUGAAGGUAAGCAAGGCUGAGCCUUGCCAUUACCUGGAUGGGAGACCACAUGGGAAAAGCUAGGUUUCUGUUUGAA